GGCCGGUUAUCUCACUUGGUUAGAGCUUGGUGCUAAUAACGCCAAGGUUGUGGGUUCGAUCCCCAUACUGGCCA
rnacentral:tRNA from 1 species